rnacentral:rRNA from 1 species
GAGUUUGAUCAUGGCCAGGACGAACGCUGGCGGCGUGCUUAACACAUGCAAGUCGAGCGGUAAGGCCCUUCGGGGUACACGAGCGGCGAACGGGUGAGUAACACGUGGGUAACCUGCCCUGUACUCUGGGAUAAGCCUUGGAAACGAGGUCUAAUACCGGAUACGACACUGAAUCGCAUGAUUCGGUGUGGAAAGUUCCGGCGGUAUGGGAUGGACCCGCGGCCUAUCAGCUUGUUGGUGGGGUAAUGGCCUACCAAGGCGACGACGGGUAGCCGGCCUGAGAGGGUGACCGGCCACACUGGGACUGAGCCCCGCCCCAGACUCCUACGGGAGGCAGCAGUGGGGAAUAUUGCCCAAUGGGCGAAAGCCUGAUGCAGCGACGCCGCGUGAGGGAUGACGGCCUUCGGGUUGUAAACCUCUUUCACCAGGGGGGAAGCGCAAGUGCCGGUACCUGCAGAAGAGGCACCGACGAACUACGUGCCAGCAGCGCGGUAA